ensembl:lncRNA
GGAGGAUACAAUGUUCAAAUUCACUGUCUACUACUUAAAGUGGAAAGUACGUUGCUCAUUUUUGGUAGCGACCAGUUCACCCAAGUGGCAUCCCAGCCGGAUCUUGAUGACGACGCGAACUGGAAUGAAAUAAAAUGGCCCACGAGAAAGGAACCAAACAGGACGGUGCCUGCUAAGGUGCUAUUAUUUGGAGGCAAGUAUGGAGAAUACGGUAAUGGGUAAUUGGUAUUCUGAAUACCUGUUUAAUUUGGUCGUUGUUCGGAAAAAAUGUCUAAGCUAAAACUUAUUGUUUGUACAUUUCUCGUUAAAUCAGGUUCCUACAAAGAACUUGUGUUGAAGAAUAAUUUAUUCCUUCUGGGUAAUGAUAUCUGGGCCGAGGAGGAAAGCAGAAGUGUGCGCAUGAAAAAGAAAAUGUGUGAGACCGACGUGGAGAAGCCUAAAACGGCCAUACAGGCAAAGCAAACCAGGAUUAAAGAGGCAGCCAGGGACCAGGUGUUACAAAACCUGAAGACUUCCCUGUCUCAGAAGAGGGCCCUGGACACACAAGAUCACCUCCACAAUUCUAAGAAUGAAUCUCCACAAUGUGUUCAUGGGGUAAGGCAUACUUCUUUCUUGAGCAGGGGGCUACAAUGUUUACAACAGCAAAAACUGUGGUGUCCCCCAGACACUUCAUCAAAAGGUCUUGAUUUGAGGAAUAUUGGACAGAAUCUUUUAGUCCUGUGAAUCACCUAUUUUGCAUGUUUCUUUGUGUUAAUUAUUAAGGUAGUUUGUCCAUUUUAGUUUUUAAAAACUCGACUACAAUGUUAGUUAAUGCCAACAUCAACUGCUGUGUUUUAUUUUUUCUAAUUAAAUAUUGUAGUUUCUAGUACAACUAAACUAUCAGGAUAUAACUAAUCAUUUUCCUAGUUUUACCAUAAAAAUGUUUUUCUUCAGGGAAAGCGAGCAAAGAUUAACAAGGCAGCAAGACGUGUGCUUUUACCUCUGGCAUCCAGUCCAAGUUCUGAUGACGCCACAUACAUAGGAAGUCCA